rnacentral:misc_RNA from 1 species
GAUGAAGAACGCAGCGAAAUGCGAUACGUAGUGUGAAUUGCAGAAUUCCGUGAACCAUCGAAUCUUUGAACGCAAAUUGCGCUCGAGGCCUCGGCUAAGAGCAUGUCUGGCUCAGCGUCGGCUUACUACCCUCAAUCAAUUACCUUGUGAUGAUUGGUUGGAGCUGGCUUUCCGGUGUUCCAAUCAGGUUGCCGGUCAGCUGAAAAACAUUCACGCUGUGGAAGUCGCUUUCCCUUCAAAAAGGAAAGCCGAUUUCCGAUUUGGUAGGUGACCUUUGCCGGUUGCAUGCCUUCGUUGCUCGUUUUGGCUUUCAUGAUAGCGUGUGCAGGACGCCAUUUUGGCUUUCGACCUGAGCUCAGGCAAGAACACCCGCUGAACUUAAGCAUAUCAAUAAGCGGAGGA